GGAGAUUCUUCUUUGGGGUUUCUUUUGUGUGGCUUGCGUUUGGUCUCAGAACAGAAUCUACACAAUGAUUUCACAACAGAUGUACUUUGCCCUUCCAAACCUUGAGAGGAAAAUGUGUCCACUACAGUUUUGGCAAUCUGAAGGCCACAGAUUCCCCCACCUCCAGAAGCUGACCUUGAAAUACCUUUGUGUACCCACAACAUCAGUCCCCAGCGAAAGGAUUUUCUCCAAAUCAGGAGAACUGAUCUCAAAACGAAGGUCAAGACUCAAGCCCAAAAACGUCCAUGCAUGUCCCUCUUCCUGCAUUACAAUUGGUAGUGUAGUCCCCAGCAUGACCCGAAGGUUUGAUAUACGCAUUGUGCCCUCCCCAAUAUGCGAAGAACGUUUUUUUUAUUUUUUAUUGUUGUACCAUUGUAUAGUGUUUAAGUUUUGUACAAUUUAGUAUUGAUUUUAAUUUAAAACAUUUGUUUUGUUUUACAACUUACAUUUUUGUGUUGACAAAUAAAUUUUUUAUUGUACUAUUGUAUAGUAUUUAAGUUUUGUACCAUUUAGAAUAAUCUUUAAUUUAAUACAUUUGGUUCUAUCAAUGCAGUGGUGUCAUUAAAAAGAGUUGGGGGGUGGGUUUUUUCAAGCAGUGAUGUCUGUCUUGACAUGCCACUUUUAUGCUUUUACUGUAAGUUUUUAAUUUAAUACAUUUGUUUUACAACUUAAAUUUUUCUGUGUUGAUUUUCAUUUGGAAUCGGAAUUGAUUGAGAAUUGA